rnacentral:siRNA from 1 species
AGAUGAAGGGUCAACGAGUCAGA